rnacentral:rRNA from 1 species
AGUGGCGGACGGGUGAGUAACGCGUGAGAAUCUGCCUUCAGGAUGGGGACAACAGUUGGAAACGACUGCUAAUACCCAAUAUGCCUACGGGUGAAACUUAUUUGGCCUGAAGAUGAGCUCGCGUCUGAUUAGCUAGUUGGUGGUGUAAGAGACUACCAAGGCGACGAUCAGUAGCUGGUCUGAGAGGAUGAGCAGCCACACUGGGACUGAGACACGGCCCAGACUCCUACGGGAGGCAGCAGUGGGGAAUUUUCCGCAAUGGGCGAAAGCCUGACGGAGCAAUACCGCGUGAGGGAGGAAGGUUUUUGGAUUGUAAACCUCUUUUCUCAGGGAAGAAUUUUGACGGUACCUGAGGAAUAAGCACCGGCUAACUCCGUGCCAGCAGCCGCGGUAAUACGGAGGGUGCAAGCGU